GAAAUGCGAUAAGUAAUGUGAAUUGCAGAAUUCAGUGAAUCAUCGAAUCUUUGAACGCACCUUGCGCUCCUUGGUAUUCCUUGGAGCAUGCCUGUUUGAGUAUCAUGAAAUCUUCAAAGUAAAUCUUUUGUUAACUCAAUUGGUUUCUACUUUGGUAUUGGAGGUCUUUGCAGCUUCACACCUGCUCCUCUUUGUUCAUUAGCUGGAUCUCAGUGUUAUGCUUGGUUCCACUCGGCGUGAUAAGUUAUCUAUCGCUGAGGACACUGUAAAAGGUGGCAAAGGUAAAUGCAGAUGAACCGCUUCUAAUAGUCCAUUGACUUGGACAAUACUUUUAUGAUCUGAUCUCAAAUCAGGUAGGACUACCCGCUGAACGUAAGCA
rnacentral:misc_RNA from 1 species